CCUGGUGGCCUGUCACUUAUAAGGCACUGCCCAAACAGAAGCAGAGAUGAUUUUUUUUUCUCACUUGCCCAGGAAUUUAAUCCAAAGAACCCAGAGGGAAAUUCCAGUUGGUGGCAGAUCAGAAAGAAAUUACAGUUGAAUCAGAAAGAAGCAGACAUGGGGAAUGUCGCUAAUUUUUUGUCAAUUGUGAAACAUAGGUGCGAAGAUUCAUAAAAUAUUGCUGCUGAAAUCUAGGACUGCCUCAUAUCCAGAGUAACGCACCAGGUGGAGCUUCACUGAGGCCAACUUGUAAACAGCUGGAUUAAAUGGCACCGAAAAUCUUGAGUUUUCUUGGGAAAGAGAAGACAUCAAACAGGCAUAUGAGGUAGAGGAUAAUAAAUAAUAUUACCUCCUUUUCAAGUACCUUGAUUUUUUUGAAGUUUUCUCGAAGUUGGUUUACCAGUUUCACAAUAACACAGAGCAACUAGAAGAUCAAAAUUCCUCGUAUGAGGGAAGAGUAUCUGUGGACCAGGCUGAAAUUUCUGAGGGGACUCUAUCACUUUUACUAAGAAAUGUGGAUUUCAUGGAUGAAGCUAUCUACAAGUGCUCAGCCAUCACACCAGAUGGAAGAAGUGAAAGUACAAUUAAGCUAAUAGUAGAAGCAGGGUAUCUGGAGUUCAGUGGUGAAUCUGGAAUGAAUCCACUCAAAGAGGGGAAGAUUCCAAAAGAUAAAGGCAGUAGUGAUAGAUGAGAACUGAAAGGCAGGAGCAUACAUGUAUCCUGUUCUUCUUUUACUAUGCUUGGAUCAAAAUUUUAACUACAGUGAAUCUCAAGACUCUGAAAUGCCCCAGGUGCAAUUUGACAGGAUUGAUGAUGAGGAUGUGGCCACAUGCAUCUCAAAGGACUAGUACCUCACGCCCAUUGUGACAUGGCUGGACCGGACAGAGAGGGACCUGAGCAACCACAGCAUCGUGGAAAUCCUGGAGGAGCAGAUGAAUGGCUUCUACAGGGUGUUCUCCAUCCUGAAAUACCCUGUCAAGUUAAAUGAGAAAUAUAUCUGCCACAUAACAGAGACAGAUGUGAACAACCAGCUCUUCAGAAUCAUCCACAAGUAUCCAAGCUGACCUUGCAGUGGGCUGGAAUACACUGAAACACGAGUUGCCGGGACAGCAAAGCCUUAGGUGUGCCCACGUGGUUUAUCUCCCCUUGGAUUGGGCACAUUAAUAAGAACUGGUGAUGCCAACCAAGAGGUGAGACCAUCUGAUACAAUGGUGGAGGAUGGGGGGAUAGUAGGGAUGUCAGGGUUGACUGAAACAAAAUGGAUCUGGGAGACCCAGCAUAGCAAAGUAGCACCAGUCUCCACUUUAAAAACAAGGACAGGCCAGGCACAGUGGCUCACACCUGUAAUCCCAGCCUUUUGGGAGGCCUAGGCAGGUGGAUCACUUGAGGACAGAAGUUUGAGACCAGCCUGGCCAACAUGGUGAAACCCCCCUCUCCAUUAAAAAUACAAAAAUUAGCUGGAUGUGGUGACUUGCACCUGUAAUUCCAGCUACUCUGGAGGCUGAGGCACGAGAAUCGCUUGAACCUGGAAGGCGGAGGUUGCAAUGAGCCUAGAUCGCACCACUGUCCUCCAGCCUGGGUAAUGGAGUGAGACUCUGUCUCAGACAAAAAACAAACAGCAACAACAACAACAACAACAACAAAAAAAACAGGGACAAAGUCCUGGGAAUCUGUGGGGGUAGUGUGGCUGCAAAGCAGUUAAGGUUCCAGCAUCCUGGCAAUUAUUCUCUAGCCUAAGGAUGCAGACAGGGUUAAAACCCAGCAAGAAACUCAAAGCUAAAUGAAGUCUCCAUAUGUGUGGCUCAGUAGGGUUCUAGGAGAAGCAACAGAUGUAAUUAGAAGUUCUCAGACAUUGUGUUGCCACAGCAACUGCUGGCCAGGAAGAAAGUGGGGAAAACCUGGAGUCCGAGGAAUACAGUCCUCCAAGGAAAUGCCAGUGGUGUUCAUCAUGCUUGGGCUUCAUGGCUGGCUCCUCCAGCUUGCCCACGCCCAGGCUCUAGAAGGCCCUCUCCCUCAAAUUCCUCCUAAUCCCCAUUCCCACAAAUUCCUCCUAAUCCCCAUUCCCACCCCUGGAGCAAUUUCAAAUGCACAUCAAGGGCUCCCUUCAGAGGGCAUCCAAAGGAAGGAAUGAGGAACUCUCAGAGGAGAGUUUGUGCUGAAGAGUAAUCUCUGGUCUCUGGGGCUUUCUGGAGCUGAGUGAGGAUCAGUGAAGGAGGCUGCAAGUUUAAUUUAUGCAUCACUCUGGAGCACCCAGGAGUGUGGCCUUCAGCCAUAUAUUUUAUCAUCCAAAUGGGGACAUUUGAGAGUUAAAGGAAACCUUUUAAACAGACACACUUGGACAAUAGGCCUAAACUGUGACACAUGGUCACCUUAAUUACUAGGCUGCCUAUGGGAUGGGAAAAUUUGUGGUUUUUAUUUUAGAGAGUGAGGAUGCUAACCUGGUAUCUAUGGGCCUCCAGAAACCCACCCAUAAAUUUUGGGACUGGAUUUUCAAGGGGGCAUGAAUUUUUCAAUACUCAAAAGACCCAAACCCAAACCCAAUAACCUAGGAAAGACAAACCCUAAUUUACUGCUCUGGGCAUGAACUGCCUUUUGUAGCCUUAAUCUCCCUUGAUUCAACAGCCACAGGAGGAUUUUCGAGGGUUCUGCUGCUGGGAAGCUGGGGAGCCUCAGCAGAUGGGACCAUCUUGGCUUCUAAGUCUUGAUCAUUACAAAUCCUUCCAACUACUCCUCUUAAGAGACAAUCAUUCAUUUCACACUUUGUCACCUAAGGGAGAUAGUUCCCUAUUCACUGUUUACAGCAAUAAAGUGGUCAGUGGAGUGGGAUCAUUCCACAGCAGUGAGACCUAAUAUAUCUGCCCCUGAAGGGGAGUGGUUUCCAGGAGUGCAUUCUUACACAUUCUUUAACAUCUGAACUGAAAACAGUGGCACAGGGAUCCUGUAGUCAUGAAAUCAGGGAAAGAUCAGGCUCUCCCAGAGCACCAGCAGAAAUGACUAUGUUUUAGGCAUAAGCUAGCCAGCCUAGAUAUUAUGAGCAUGUGGUUCAGCCACAGGCUCAGUUACAAAAUUGUAGGAUGUUUAAAGGGUAAGGCCCACCCAGAGUGUGUCUCCUAGAAUUUUCUCAGAGACUUUGGGAAUCACAGCCAUCUGGCAGGAGUUCCUGACAGUUACUCAUUGACUCAGGCUGGUGGUGGCCCUCUUCUCAACCCUGGUUUAAGGCUGGGAGUCCCUGGGCCAACAUGCCUCAUUUAUUGCACCUAUUACUCAGACAGGUCCUGAAAAGUAGAGCACAAGUUUCUGAGCUGAGUUUGGAACUUCUCAAGAUUUCUGGGGUGGUCAGGAGGGGCUCCUUAAAACCUGUAAGCAUCAAUUUUAACACCAUUGUUCUCUACUAGGCAUGGGUGUCAGGAAGUUCUGGCACCCUCUACAGGUCCUCUGGAUUUUAACAGUCCAGUUUAGAGGAAUGUUAAUCUUUGGGGAACAAACUAAGAACUACAUAAAAUCAGUUCCUUUGAAAAGAAAAGCAACAAUCCAAACACAAAUUAAUCUGCAUUUCCUUAUCAAUAUCUAACAUGGAAAUAGAUGAAAUCUAUAAGUAAUAUACAGGACAAUCAAAAAAAUACCAAACAUCAUGCCAAGUGCCAGGGGCUCAAGGAAGAGUAAAGCACAGUCUGUGUCUCUAAGGAGCUUGUAGCUUAGGUGAGAAGCUAGGGGAAUGAAUAUAUGCAAUUUUAAAUAACAGAACAACACAAUCUAAUAAGAGAUAACUCAAGACAAUGUGUGGCUAUGGUUAAGUGACAACUGUCUAGAGCAGUGCUGUCCAACAGAAAUAGAACACCCAUCUCAUACAGAAUUUAAAAUUUUCUAGUAGGUACAUUUUUUUUUGAGACGAAGUCUCAAUCUAUUGCCCAUGCUGGAGUGCAGUGGCAUGAUCUCAGCUCACUGCAAACUCCGCCUCCUGGGUUCAAGCAAUUCUCCUUCCUCAAUCUGUUGAGUACCUGGGAUUACAGGUGCCUGCCACCAUGCCCGGACAAUUUUUGUGUUUUUAGUAGAGACAGGGUUUCACCAUGUUGGCCAGGCUGUUCUUGAACUCCGGACCUCAAGUGAUCCACCACCUCGGUCUCCCAAAGUGCUGGGAUUACAGUUGUGAGCCACCGCACCCGGCCUCUGGAAGGUACCUUUUAAAAACUCAAAAGAAAUAAGGUGAAAUUAAGUGUAAUCACUUAUUUUAAGAAAAUAUAUCCAGAAUAUUACCAUCUCAACAUGUAAUCAAUAAUAUGGAGAUAUUUUAGACUUUUUUCGUACUAAGUCUUUGGAAUCUGAUAUGUCUUUUACACUUACAGUACAUCUAAAUUGGACUAGCCACGUUUCAAGUGCUCAGUAGCCACUGCAGCUAGUAGCUAUCGGCAUUGAACAGCACAGUUCUAAACAGUUAUGGCUGGAUGCGGUGGCUCACGCCUGUUAUCCCAACACUUUGGGAGGCCAAGGCGAGGCGAUUCCUUGAGGCCAGGAGUUUGAGACCAGCUUGGGCAAUAUAGCAAGACCCUGUCUCUUAAAAAAAAAAGAAAAAGAGAAAAAAGGAAAUAAAAAUAGUUCUGAGUUCUGACCUCACUGCAUCGGAGGAGGAGGGUUUGAGGAGAAAGAGGACGACCUUCUUUAACUUGGAAUACUUUUCAAGUGGUGUAUAACUGAAGUCAAUAGAGAUUAUCUGAACAUACAGGCAAGGCAGCAUGUCAGGCUGCAUCUGGGACCAGGAUACUGAGUAAUGAGGACCUAGUCCUUCAAAAAUGGGCAGGCGUCAUGGGCACUUAGGCUGAAUUCUGGCUGUUUUCAAUGCCUGUGGACAAGUCAUUUCACCCUUCUGGUCUCCUCUAUAAGAAAGGUAAAAUGUUUGGUACUUCCUCUCUGUAAGACUUUUUAUGGCCUAGCUCAGAAACAAUGACAAAAGGGCUAAUUAAGCUGUACAUAUUUGGAGGCUUCUCUUAGCUAAAUAUGCUUUUUUGGGGGCAUACAAAUCCAUGGACAAAUUUGGCAAUGAGAUAGAUAUAUCUUUUCAAAACCUUUUUUAAAAAUUUUCUUGGCUUGACUGCUACACUCUCUUACUGCCAACUUUCAGUAUUACACACACACAAACACAGUUUCAGUGCCUUGAGAUUAAAGUCAAUGAAAACAUGCACAUUCUAUUCUUCUUGAGACAUUCCUGCCUUGCAUUCUUUCCUUGAAGCAGUUGGGAUGUCACAGCUGGGGGGAAGGAGCUGUAAAACCUACUUAUGCCGGCCAAUCAGGCCUUGGCUGACAGGAGGCCCACCAAUGAGGGACUGCCAGGUAUUCCGUUCCACUGCAACAAAUUCCCCCCUAUUUUUUCAGAAAUUAAAACCCUCUGAGACCCUCAAGCUGUACACAAUGCACAAAGACCUCCUUUUUUGUUCAUUCUGUUUUUCCCCAAGGACUGCAUUAGAAACUCUACACAAAAAUGUACUAGCUUAGUUGCUAUGGAUAGAUUAUCAUUUGUGGUAAAAACACUUCCAAGUAUCAUGUAACAAUAUUGUUCUCACAGCUCUGGUAUCCUUCAUUUUAACUGUGUAAACACUGGAGAAAUGCCACAUAUUUAACUGUUUGGGGUCACCCUGAGGAACUCCCAACUCCACUGAAAAAUGAAGUAGUAUGCUAUGGUAAGUCCGGGAACUCUGACUUAAGGCCACAGGUAAGUGGAGGUGGUUGGCCCCCGGGGACUUCACUCAGUGCUGACCACUGUGUUAGCGGUGGAACGUUCCCCAGAAUGAGACUUCGCCUCUGAGAUCUUAAUGUGCAAAUCCAGUGACACUGAAUGCCUUUUGCUUUGUUUUAUCCAUACUGGAAACAUCACAGUUGCCAUUCAAAUGAAACCAGAGAGAGAGAGUAACAGCAGGAAGGAUCCAAAAAAGUAAAGGUUUCAGCAAAAGGUGAGGUCCAAAGACAAAGGUGACUAGUGACUAUGGGCAAAGAAUUACCAACAACAGAAUUUAAUGCUUUAUUUCAUAUUCUUUGGGACAUUAGCUUCCUCUGGGAAUGGUGCCAAGUUAUAUUAAAAUUGCUGAUCAUGGAAGGAAAGAAUAAAAAUAUUUACUAUUCAGCUAGCCUCUGCUUAACUUCCAACUUCACCUGGGACUGAGAGACUUAGAAUCCAGGUGUCUGAUUAAGCAAGCCCAGCACUACUAUCAUGUCCAAGAUUAAGCAAACUGUUGAUGGGCAAGUGCUGUCAACCAUCUUCCCAGAUGCACAAUAUUCUUGCAAAAUACGGCACAGAGAUGACUAUCAUUAAGAUACAAAGAUUGUAGGCACCUCUCUGUAUUACAUAUGAGACAUUUGGCCUUAUUAAUCCAUUUAGCUAGUGGAUUAAUUCAACAAAUAUUUACUAAGCAUCUACUAUACACUAAGCACAACUGGUUCUAGGUAUUAGAGAUCCAUUGCAGAAUGAGAGAGACAAAGCCCUAUUCUAAAGGGGUACAUGCUCUAGAGGGAGGAAGGUGAAUAAACAAACAAAAAUAAGUUCAUUUCAGCCUGUGAUCAGUAAGUUUAGAGGAAAAUAGAGUAUGUAUGACAGAACUCUGGGAGAGAGGGCACCACUUAGAUUGAGUGGUCAGGGAAUGCUUUCUUGAGCUGGGACCUGAAGGAUGAGAGCAAUUCAGACGAGAGUAGAAAAGUGCAAAGGCUCUGAAGCAGGGUGGAAUUUGUUACAUUCCUGGAACAGAGAAAAGGCCAGUGUAGCCAUAGCACUGGGUCCAAAAGCCAGAGCAGCAAGAGGUAAGCUGGGAAAAGCUGGCAAGGGGUAGAGCAUGUAGGGUCUUAAAGGUACUGAUCAUAAGUCUGUAUUUUAUUCUUAAUGCAAUGGAUGUCACUGGGGGUUUUGCUCAGGGAGUGACAUGAUCAGAUAUUGUUUUACAAAGAUUACUCAGGCUGUCCUGUACAGAAAGAGCAAGGUCGCAGGAAAGAGAAAGCGGAGAGCAGCUAGGUGCUAUUGCAAUAGUCCAGGCACAAUGAUGGCAGCUUGGCUAGGAUGGUGGCGGUGGGGACAGAGGACAGUCAGUGGAGAGGUGAUACAUUCUGACAGUACAGAAGGCAGGACUUGCUGAUAGACUGGGUAUGAACAGAGAAAGUGAAAAAUAAAAGAGAAAAUUCCUGGGUACAUAAGUUGAUAUCCAAAAGCCCAGCCAGUUCUAGGCAGGUGUGCACAUGGCCAUGCUGAUGGUCCAUUCUAGAGUCACUACCAAGAGGAUCUUCUCUGAGACAGGCUCUGGGUCCAGACAAGUCCCUUGCCUUCCUGAGGAAACUUAGUUUAUGAGGUGAGUUCAGCAAGGCCACUAAGACCUGGGUUCACAUAUAAAUAGAUCCUGUUCAUGGGAAGUCUGUCCGUGGAACACUAGCCUUGAAAUAUUUAUGGCCUUUUUUGAAAUGGUGUUCUGUGGUAAAAUGUUUGGGAAACAUUACUUAUUAUACUUCCUUCUAGAGUCAUAAACGCACACGAACUUUGUAAAACUCUGGAACAUCCUCUAACUAAAAAACCAUUUAACCCAGCACAUAUAUGGACUUCACUCACUACACACUUUGGGUCUAGGCUCUUCAUGUCUCUCCCUAUGGUGUUAUUACCGUUCCUUGGAAUUCAAGCCAUAACAACAAGGAGAACAAUAGCAACUACUAUUUAUUGAGUACUUACCUUGUGGGAGGCACCUUUGUAGACAUCAUCUCCCUUGCCACACACUAUGUACAGGUGCCAUUUUAAUUUACAGCUUUAAUUAUCAUUUGUGAGUUGUGCUUACAGAGCAUACAUUUACUUACAAAAAACAGCCAGGCACGGUGGCUCAUGCCUAUAAUCCCAGCACAUUGGGAGGUUGAGGCAGGGGGCUCACAUGAGGUCAGGAGUUCAAGACCAGCCUGGCCAACAUGGUGAAACCCCGUCUCUACCAAAAAUACAAAAAUUAGCCGGGCGUGGUUGCAGGCACCUGUAAUCCCAGCUACUUGGGAGGCUGAGGCACGAGAAUUGCUUUAAUCCAGGAGGCAGAGGUUGCAGUGAGCCGAGAUCCUGCCACUGCACUCCAGUCUGGGCGACAGAGCGAGACUCUGUCUCAAAACAAAAACAAACAAACAAAAAACAGUGAUAUAUCUUUUCUGAUCAUAUAUAUCUGCAGUGUUCACUCACAGUAUUUUCUCAUGAAGCACUUAACAGAAAUUCUUCACUCAAUCGCCUCAUCUGCAUUUGCUUAACCCACUAAAAUUAACAGUUUCCCACGUGCAUCACCACCUCCCUUCUUCCAGUCUUCCUCAUCACUAUUUUCCUCCUUCUUAUUUGUUCUACCCACUUCUAGGACAAGAACCAUUUGGGGGCAGUUCAUUACAUGCUUUGAACACUCUUAGGCUUAGAAUUCCUAACUUUUGUCUCUUUCUCAGAGACUGUCAUGACUUUCUGAAUAUGGCUACUGUCACAUCUGAGCCCAUAGACUGUCAGUCUAGAGCCUCAGCUAUCUAUCUGAGCCCCAAAUACAUGCACACACUUCAGCCUAGGCAGAGAAAAGACUUUUUCCUGGAGUCAGAGUCAAACAACAAAUCACUGGAGAAUGAGGAAGUCUUUACAUUCCAGGCCACUGUAACAUGAGUAAUUCCAGUCAUUACACGACAAUGCCAUUUACACUGGGCAAAAUAAUUAUAGCAUUACCUGGAAAAUAACCCAAUCAACCAACGGAAACACAGCCACUGGGGAGGAACCCAGCUUGCUCUCUAAUCCACACAGCAAUUCCAUGGAGCAACUUAAAACAGGAAAUGAAGAGACUUCUAUUUGAUCAAAUGUGUAUGGGGAAUUUGGAGGAAAAACUCAAUUACCUAAGCUGUAAAAUGACCAAUAUAGUGGGGUAGUCAUCCUCAAGCGCUGGUUGUUUUUACAGGAUUUCAUAUCCCUAUCACAGUUUAUUUUUGUCAAAAAAAAAGUAUCUAAAAUAGGACACGUAAUAAACAAAAACAACCCCAACAUGGUUUCUUAUUAUCUAGCUUAUGUAUGUUCCUUUGUAGAAAAUGAAAAAACACAAAGACUCUUCUCCAAUUGUAUCUGUAAGAGGAAGCGGUUAACUUUGUAACUAUCCUUUAAAACAACAUGGUCCACAAGUAGCUUGGGGAGUUUUAUUAAGAAAGAAGUCUGCAGUGAGUACUGAAAUUAUUAUACCCAACAUUUAGCCAAGACUUGAAUGUCUGGCCUCUACUCAAAACAUUUCCCAGUCCCAUUCUCCCUUCUAGUUUCAUCUCCCAAGAAAGGAGAUUGAGAAACCCAAAAUGGACUCACACCUGAAGUGUGUUCCUACUGGGAACUGGGGUUUUCUUUGAUCACUAUCAAGCCCUUGGUGCCACACAGAAAAUUACCCUUCUGUGGAACAGGAGGCAGACACCAAUUAAUGCAUAAAGUGAAUGUCUUUCUCCUUAAAAUAAAUAGCUAAACCAGAAAAUCUGCAUCUCUGCAUGUGGCUGUCAGCAAGACCAAGGCCACACAGGAUAAGAAAGGAAAGAAAAUAGAAAAUGUCAAGGAGGGAAAACUAGAGGAAGGGGAACAAAGCACAAACAGACACAUUCCUGAAAGAUUGUUGGGACUCUAGGGAGAAGCCAGGUGAAUUUCCUGCUUCUGAUGUAGGCCUCAGCCUGUCCCUGUAGCACCAUAAUUAUAGCACAUAGUGCAAAACCAGGGAUGGUGGUGCCCUGGGAGAAGCGAAGCUGCGUGCUCCGAGUAUUUGUGAAUGACUGGCAAGCAUACAUCUGCCUCCAUCCCAAAGCAAGUUUUGUGAGCUCGGCUGGGCCACCAAGAAGCCAUGCUGGGCCCUCCUGGUAGGGACCCUGACAGUAAAGGGAACUCAGUAUGUCUGAGUCUUUGCUCAGGGUGAGCAUCUGUAUUUCUGUUUCAAUAGUGCUUAGCCUCUCUGAUAGAAAUUCCACUGUAUCAAUUUCACACUACAGUUUAGGUGAACCAGGUAUAUGUGUGAAGGGGAUCAGAAAUUUCUCGGACCAUCUUUGAGGUCCCGUCCAUUUUCUUUUUCUCUGUCACAAAUGUUAUGCCACAAACUACAAACUUGGGCCCUCUCAAUAGCUAAAAAUACAUGUAAUUAGCCCAACCCUUACAGAAGCUAAUAGGGUAUGUUGGCUGUGGGAUUAGGGAGGGAAAACCUAUGUCUUAUUUUUGGAAUAUGGUAGGGAAUGAGUGAAUGAAUGACAUGCACUUAUUAAAUUCAUUGACAGGCAAACUUCACACCAUAAAAAUAAGUACUGGUUUAUGUGCCUAGGCUUAGAAAGAAAUCAGGGCAGUAUAACAUAAGUCAAACACUAAACUAAAUUAAAACAAAACAAAUUCCACAGGAAUUUUUGUGAGAAAAGUCUCACUAUUAGAGCUAUAGGGAGAUGGCCAUGUUCUCCUAGUGGUGAAAUUUAAGUCAGUGUCUAUUUGUGUGUGUGUGUGCAUGUCUCCUUGUGUAUUCUGUAUGUACACAGACACAUAUCCAUGCACGCACGCACACACACACACACACACACACACACAGUCUACCCUGGGGCACAGCCAAUUUUAAUUCAAUUCUAACCUGUACUGUACCCUUACUAGAAAAGCCACCUCCAAUAUUGAGCUGGCUGGCUCCCCAGUCAGGAUCAAUAGCACGAUUUAGCACAUUGGGAUUUUCUAGUGAGAUUUGGGAACUGGAGUACAGGCAAGGUACCAAGCAUUUCAGCAGGACUAAAACAUCUGCAUUGGCCUCUGCUUCCUUACUGUGUUCACCCUAACAAGUCACUUGAUUUAACCAUUGGGUCAAAGCCAAAGACCAGUGCCCAUGGGCUGUAGUAAGAGCCUGAUCUGACCAGAGAUCAGGGCCAGGGGAGCAGGGCAGGCAAUUCAUUAAUACUUGUUCAGGAGCUCCUGGAUCCUGAUCAUGGGCCAGGCAACAUGAUGCAAAGGUAAAAAGAAGCAUUCCAGAAAACAAAAUUAGGGUCCAUGCAAUAGUUUCAGACAACUAUUUCUGUAAGCCAUUUGCAAUACUGCAUCAUUAUUUUUAAAAGAAAAUGUGAACAUUUACCGAAGUGAGAAAAAGUUUUGUUUGCUUUUGUUUUUCAAGUAAGUUCAAUAAAUCCCAAAUUGCACACUCUGAAUUAGGGGUUGUCUUCCCUUUUUCCCCCCAAAAUUUCUUGAUCGACUACAAGGAGACCCAGGAUUCUUCAUUUCUUCCCCAGUGUUGUUGAGCGGUUGGCUUCUGAAGUGGAAAAUCAAGUGAUUCCUUUCUGUAGAGUAAACAGCAUUUGGGAUUCCUGGGCAUGAAGACUGUUCAGGUGCCACAUGCUGUACUGUUUAUAUUCCACUCACUACAUGGCGAGAGAAAGUAAAGGACACAAGAUGCCUCCUGUUUUUAUUCACUCUGUUUUCUCAUCCUUGAGCCAGCCUAUCUUUCAAACUGUUCUUCACUAGGCUGUAAAUCACCAUAAGAGUUAAUCAAAUAUCCCAAUUCCAUUAAGUAGAAUAUUUUGACAAUCUAGCCUAGAAUAUCCACCUCCUUUUAUAUGAAUAGGAUUUCAAAGCUGCAUUUUAGAGCCCACCUACUCUAACCCCCAUAUUUGGCAGACGAGGAGUCAGGUGGCUGCUCAUUACCUGGGGUGCCACUGUCUGUCCUGAGUUAUUCAUCCCAGCCCAUCUCUGGCCAGUAAAUGGAGGUUCGUUUGAAGCCAGCUCACACCAGGGAUGUCUGUAAACUCAGCCACAGUUUCAGCCAGCACUGCUGCUAUCUUCACUCUGAACCUUUCAAGGCAGCUGAAUCCUGACAGGCUCAUAAAUUCACUCACUUGUUUCCUAUGUGUGCGACUCGUUGCCACUCCCCCGGGACAGUUUAAGCCUAACUAAGAAAACUGGGGAAACGAGUGAGGACGGACAACCAAAGUAAGAGCUGCAGAACCACGCAGAUUGUGCUAAAAAGGCACAGAGCCAAGCAGACAGUGUCUAGACUUUAACUGGCCUCUCCCAGCGGAGAGGCGUGCAGGGAGGAGGGGAGAGCAAGGCCGGAAAGCCUGCUCGGGUUUUGUUCAGCUAAUGCAAACACAUGACACAACCUCUGACAGGCUCCAGGCUGGGGGUUUACUCUAAGACAUUUCUUCCCAGGGGCUGGAAUUCAGCUGGAGGCUGAGGAAAUUCUGCUAAUCCAGCAAUCAGAAGGAAGCUGGGAAUACUUGUUUUAAUUCCUGGGGAAUCACAGUUCCCAAACUAGACUGACUUGUGCAACAGCCCAAAGUGGCACACUGUGGGUACAAGAAACCAGAUAUUUAAGAUUUCCAUGUCUGUCAUCUCUGCUUAUCUAUGAGGAAAAUCCACAAAAACACAGAAUUGGCUUUUGAUGGAGGCCUAGUACAAAAACUUUGCAAGAGUCUAAAUGAAAUCAAUUUAUAAGAUGCACAAAUGUAGAAAUGACCGCCAUAGUCUAAUAAACAUCACAUGACUCAGAGAUAACGUUGGGUUUGGGGAGCUUUGCACAUCAGUUAGAAAAAAAUGUGCUCCUUCCUGUGGGUGGGCAGAGAAGCCCUGUGCCACACACAGGUACAUGACACACUUGUGCAGUGAACAGUCUGUACAACCCUACCUAGCAACUCUGCUGGCGUUUUAGAGCUGUCUUGCCAUUUGGCCUUAUUUAAUGCGGAACAGUUGUGAAUACAUCUGAAGAACAAAGAAAUUGCCUUAAAACAUCCCCCAAGGCUGGGCACUGUGGCUCACGACUGUAAUGCUAGCACUUUGGGAGGCUGAGGAGGGAGGACCGCCUAAGCCCAGGAGUUAGAGACCAGCAUGGGCAACAAGGUGAAACCCUGUCUCCACUAAAAACACAAAAAUUAGCUGGGCCUGAUGGCACAUGCCUGUAGUCCCAGCUACUCUGGAGGCCGAGGUGGAAGGAUUGCUUAAGCCAGGAUGUAGAGGCUGCAGUGAGCUAAGAUUGUGUCACUGCUCUCCAGCCUGGGCAACAGAGCAAGAUCCUGUGUCAAAAAACAAAACAAAACAACUGCUACAAAAAAACCCCCAAAACUCCUAAGUCACUGAUCAUUAGGCUGCAAAUGCUCCACUGUAAAAACUGCAUUCCAAUGUGACUCAGAAGUAACUGGACCUAAUUCCAAAUGGAGGUCAUGCCUGCCAUGUCUAUGUGGCCAGAAUGGCCAAGCCUGAAGUGUCAUUCCAGGCAUAUAGCCAUAUAACAACUGAUGUUACCUGGAAAGUUAAAUGACUGGGUCUCUACAAUGCUGAGUGGAUGUUACCUAGCAGAAGCGUCUUUGGUUUUCAAACUUCCACAAGACACAGUGACUAUCAGUCAUUUUUCAGAGCUCAGCUGGUGGGUCACUUCCUCCUGGAAGCGCUCCUGAGCCCUUCGUGCUGGGUUAGGUUUUCAGCCCUGUCCCAAUACUUCUCACAUUGCAUCACUUUGAGCCUGUGUUCCUGUCUGCCUCCCCCCUGGACUGCAAGCUCUUUGGGCACAAGGUCUCUUAUCCACCAGCACUAACUCAGUGCCUGACAGAGAACAGAUCUGCAAUACCUUUUGCUUUCCUCUUUUGAGCUGACUUUGAAAAAUUUUACUUUGUCCCAGAUGAGUGACGCAAAAGUGUAUUGAGACUUUGUGCAGUUUUAUCUCUGCAUCUAAUGUGAACGUGGUGGUUCGUGAAUGUUUGGCAGCUCCUACUGCGGCCCAGACACUUCAGGAUGACCUCUCUGUAAUGGUGAGAGAAGGAAAAUAGAGGAGAAAGAUGAAGGGAAGAGCAAAGAGCAACAUAAGGAGUGGUACAGAGAGCUGGCUCCAGGGCCAGGAAGGGGUGGGCAUGUGAGGCUGGCAUCGGCCUGGCUGCAGACACAGCAGCCCCUCCCUAGUGGGACUGCAGGUCUGUGUGCAAAGUACCAGAAGCUGUGGCCUUGGCUCCCAAAGGGACAAAUUCCAGCUUGCUCCAGGAAUACUUCUUACCCUGUCUUUGAGAGUAAUUGGCACUUAUUUUUGAAAUAAUGAAAGCAAAGGAUCCUAUUCCUUUGCAUUAUCACAUUUUCCACACCAACAAUUUGAAAUUUAUUGCCUGGUAACAGGCCAUGCUAUGAAGACCACAGCAAAAUGGAAAUGACCACCCAAGAUAUCUGUUUGCCCCCUCCAUACAUACCUCUUUUUUUGCCUUUUCUUUCUGUUUUCUUCCCAGUUAUUUCCAUUCACUCACUCUACCUUUAGGGAGAACUUAUGCUGGCUUCCCAUCCUACUGCCUCUGCACAGGAGAUACUCCAUGAGUACUUCAAUCUCUCCUGGAGGAAUGAUAGAACUGUGGCUUCACAGAAGAAACACUACACAGAAGUUUAAGGGCAAGAUUAGCUCAGUAGAAGCAAGGGUUCUGAUAUAAAUUCUGGGCCUUAAAGCAUCCACUGAAGUAAAUAUCCUAGUUUUCUCUUUAAAAAAGAAGGUGAUAAUUAAAUCUCUGGAGAGAGAAAAAGAAGCAAGGAGACUUCUGUAUGCCAUAAGCACACAUAUACACGUGCGUGAAUGUGCAAACACACGUGUGUACACACAUGUACACACACGCACACACACACCCAUGGCUUUUGGAGUUCGUCCCCUAGAGAUGCCCUGAGGAUGAUAAAACCAACUAACACUGCACACCGUGUGCCAAAACACUCUGCUUUACAUGUAAGAGCUUAUUUAAUUCUCACAACUAACCUAUGGGGUAGAUACUCUGGAUUAAGCCCAUUUUAGAGAUGGGGAAACAGGCUCAUAGAGGUUUUAAGUAGUUUUCCCAAGAUCACAUGGCUAGUAAGGGCAGUGCUAGGAUUUAAUAUAGCUUCCAGGUCUGAGCGCUAAGCCAUUAUGUUAUACCUCCUCUCAAGGAAAAAUCAGUAAUCAGAGUAACAACCUGAGCCAGCACAAAGGCUGUGCAAAUAAAGACCAUGCCUAGUGGAUGUUUACUUGUAUACUGAGGAUUCUCCUGGUGAAAUCAUUACAGAGUCAAAAACAUAAGCGACCCUUCAUCUCUUGCAGGUAUUUGUUUUUGGCGUUGACUAUACACCAUGAGUAGAGGAGACCUUUUCCAAGAUCUAAUCGAGUAGACAGGUAGAGACACAGGAAUGAUUCCCAUUCUACUGGUAAGGAAAGUGACUUCGGGGAGGUUAAGUAACUUGCACAAGGCCUCACAGCUGGACAAGGCCAGAAUUCAAACUCAGUCCACUGCCCCAAAGCCCUCGCUCUUAACUGAAGAUACAAGUUAGAGACAUUAUGUGACUUUAAAAAGGUGCCCAGGAAAGGGCACAGCAGGACUUCUAAGUCAGACUCUUUCAUUGUUCUACAGCGUUGCUCUUAAUAACAAAAUGGGUUUUUUACAGAGUCUAUGAAAAAGAUAGAUUUAGGCCUGGCAUCGUGGCUCACGCCUCUAAUCCCAGCACUUUGGGAGGCUGAGGCGGGUGGAUCACUUGAGGGUGGGAGUUCCAGACCAGCCUGGCCAACUAGGUGAAACCCCAUCUCUACUAAAAACACAAAAAUUAGCCAGGUGUGGUGGCAGGCGCUUGUAAUCCCAGCUACUCAGGAGGCUGAGGCAGGAGAAUCACUUGAACCCAGGAGGCGGAGGAGGUUGCAGUGAGCCGAGAUCGCACCACUGUGCUCCAGCCUGGGUGACAGAGCGGACUCCAUCUCAAAAAAGAAAAAAAAAAAAAAAAGCAGACUUGGAGACACCCAGAAAUGAGAACAAGAAAAGACAAAGAAAAAUGGGAAGAGAAAAAGAGCAGACCCCCAGAACGGUCACAAGGUGAGAUAAAGUGAAGGGGAACAUCACACUCUGGGGACUGUUGUGGGGUGGGGGGAGGAGGGAGGGAUAGCAUUGGGAGAUAUACCUAAUGCUAGAUGACGAGUUAGUGGGUGCAGCGCACCAGCAUGGCACAUGUAUACAUAUGUAACUAACCUGCACAUUGUGCACAUGUACCCUAAAACUUAAAGUAUAAUAAAUUAAAAAAAAAAAAGUUCCACACAAAAAGCUGCCAUCUACUGGACAUACUGAUUAGGUGGACAGGCUGAAAAGGGGUCCAGCUGCCCAAGUGGAGUCUUUCAAAUUCUGAGAAGGCAGAGGCCGUCUAUCCCACUGCCAUGUUUCAGGAUUUUCUGAAGUAGUGCCAAGAGGUGAGGAAGGGGAAUUUCUGCUAAAGCCUUACAUCUGACCCCUAAUGGCCAAGCAGCGAUGGUGGUAGCAGCUCCUUCAGAACAGGGAUCUGUAUGGUAAGGCUUUUUAGUCCCACACUCUUCCUAAUAGUAGCUUAUGUGCAAACUGACUAGCAUAAUGCCUGACACUUCUGUAGAUCCAUAAAUUACACUUAUUAACUGUCAUUGAAGGAUAAGAGGAAAGACAGGGGAAAAGACAAAUUUUGCCUCAGACAUAGGAUUUUAAAUCUUGAAACAACAAAAAGUAUAGAAAGACAGAGAGACAUUUUCCUUACAUCAAUUCAAGCCAAUAUCCCAUGACACACACACACACAUGCACACAUGCAUGCACAUAUAAAUCUGGGCCUGCAACAUGUGAUAGCUUUUGUCAUGUAUCACAUGACCUGUUUGUCAACAGCUUAGUUGGUCACAAAUGGUGUCCAGGAUUAUUCAAGGGACAUAUGGGCGUCACACAUUCAGACUUAAUCCUGGGAAUAGUUUAUUGGUGAUGGCUUCCAAAUGAGCAUCUAAAGUCUAUGAAAAGAUUAAAUGGAAAUCCUCCAACCAAAGCAAGAAAUGAAGAUUUAUGGGAAUUAUUUUGUACUCCAACUACCCAAAGAGCAUCCUAUUAGCAACUUAUUGCCAGGCUAAUGCAAAAGCUGUUAUCUAUGACAGCAGCAGCUCUUAGAACUUUAGCAAGAGCAACUGUUUACUUCAUCAGAAUAGCCAAGAAAAUUCUCGUUAUAUUUUUGUUGACUGGGCCAAUGUUAGAAGGUCUGGCUUACUUUAAGGUGUUCAGAUUCAUCCAAACAGCUUAGAAGCUUGGGCCAAAAUCUGGCGUAAGUGCUAUUUUCCUGACAUUUCAUCCAUUUGCUAACCCAGUUCUAUCAUCUAUUACCCCAUGUUGUUUUUGUCAGUUUCAUACAGUCCCAAACUCUGCCUUCUAAUUAUCUUAAUUUUGGCUAAAGAUGCGUCAAUGUUUGUCAAAUUGGACUGAUUUACCAUCCAGCAGGGAUGGUAAAUAGCUUUCAUCUCAUAUAGACUCUGAUUGCUAGUGGCUACCUAGAACAUUGCUGAGUAGGAUUUUCAAACCUUCUCCAAGUUCAGUAGGAAAGAAUUCUAUGAUUGAUUAGAAAUGUCUGUCAUGGGUAAGGGAGAGGGUAAUGGUAAUAUGUAUGCCACGUCUGUGCCAUCUCUGAAAGGCCAUUUACCACCCCACCUUUUUCUCCUUAAGCAAUCCCUGAAGUCCUACCCCUUGGAUAUUUCAUCCAGUGCCUUGACAUCGUGACGAUUCUUGUGACCCCCUCCUUUUUUCGAGAGGAAUUUUCCCUUCUCCUAAUAUGUGGUAUUUUAUUUAAAUAAAAAAGUUAAUGUGUUAUUUUCUGAUAAAAUAUGAAAAUAAAAUAUGCCAAUUAAAAGCUUAGAGAAUAUAGAAAAGACUAGAGCAAAGAAUAAAAUGACCCAUAAAUCCACUACCUACAGAUAAUUUCUAACACAUUUGUUUGUUGUACUUUUCUAUAAAUUUUUACAGUCGUGAGAAUAAAGCUGGGGGGUGUGUGCUUUUUAAAUUAAAUUAUAAUCAUUUGCCAGCGCUUCAAAAUGUUUUUGUAAAUGCUUUUGGUGGCACAUACAGCUGUUCCAUGAUUUAUUUAACCCUUCUCCUACGGUUGACUAUGUAGUCAAUGUUAAGUUUUUUGCUGUCAUAAAUAACAUGACUGACAUCUUAUGUAGAGUCCUUUCAAAAGUAAUAAUGACCAGGGCAAAGUGGUCUAACAGAAUGAUUUGAGUUCUUUGCGGAAUUCAAUAUAGAUUACAGUGAACCCUGGAAUAUCUAUCCAUCCACAAAACAGUCAAGAAAGCUCCCCAAAGCUGAUCUAAAGUUUACUAAAAUGGAUUCAUGUCAAUUAAGGCUGUAUUUCACUGUGUUUGCUGCACAUCCUUGUAGCUAACAAGGAAAGCCAUUUAUUGUUAACAAGUUAAAAUGUUAAAAAUAACAUCCAAAUAGUAAGUCUCAUAUAGAGAGGGUUAAUUUAUCUUUCAUUAAUUAUUGAAGGUUUGCUGUUGUUAAAACAUGGAUUAAAAACUUGCUAAAUGUUACCUUGGCUAGAUACCAAGAGAAGAGACAGAUUAAAAGAUAGCCAUCUUUGGGCACAGAGUCAUGAAAUGUACCCUAGGUCAUCCCUAUCCCUCAUUUUCUUCAUGGUAACUUUUCCUGUAUGUAACUUCAUGGUAACAUACAGGUUCAUACCUUUCUGUACCAACUCCCUCAGUCUUGUCGCAUGGUGCCUACAUGGGCCAGAUGUAAAAGUUCAUGAAGCUAUACAUGGAAGAUUUGUGCAUUUUGCUACCAUAAAAGGAUCUUACAAAGGAAGGCCCUACAUUAAUGUAAAUUAAAAAAAAACAGCAAUAAGUAUAAAGCUACUAGUUACUCUGUAGUUAUAAUAAUAUAAACUGUAGCUGCCACGAUUUAAAGCACCUGGACCCACCGCUAGACUGUAAAUAAUGUGAGGGCAGAGACCAUGUCUUGUGCUUCACUGUGACUCUGACCUGAGUACCAGGUGUGCUCAGCUGCAGCAGGGUAUAGGCUCGAUGAGGACAGUGAAGGGAAGGCCACGCCAUUCAUGGAAUACUCUCAGAGAAAGCACCCCUUGCCAAAAUCACAGGAGUCAGAAUAGAGCAUCCUAAACAAAAAGUAUGCAUUUGCCCUCUGAGGACAUUAAUCAUCUGGCUUACAAAGUGAACCUAUCUAACUGUACUUUUUUUCCCUAUUAACUGGUAUCGUUAAGCUAAUAAAAUUUAUGUCUGUUAGAAACAUUCUGCCAGAUGUCCAGUUAUUUGAAGAGGACUAAGACAAAGAAUCCAUGACAUUUUCAAUUCUCAUAUGUGAUCAUUGGUAUUUACAGCUCAUCCUUUACUUCCUGUUCUUGUGGCAGCAUGUGUUGCUCUGGCCCACUGACUUCGAAGACUUUCUUUUCGUCUUCGGGGCAUUUCCUCUCGGAUCAUUACAUCCACUUCAGCCCAUGACCAGAUCUUCACCUCAUGGUUCCUCUCCAACUUGCUUCUAUGAGCCUGGGGAUGGAGUCCUGGUUUCUGUCACCCAAUCCAGAGACUUCUAGGGGAACUGUAACGUGUCCACCUUCUAAAGCCACUUGCAAUGGCCAGGACCUCGUAUGCUGGGUGCUUGCCCUUCUGUUCUGGCUAGUCUGCACAGCCCCUGCUAUGUUUUACACCCCAAUUUCCAGCAAUGGUCUUUAGAAUUGCAAGAAGUAGCUUAUUUGCCAAAGGAUAAACAAGCAAGAGAUCAUUUUAGAGAUCUUUUUAGCUUUGUUAAUAAUACAAGUUGUGGCACCAAGAAGAUGCAGUCAGAGAUAUGGGUUGGAUGCAAGGCUUACUUGAGUCUACCAUCAGAACAAUUCUAAAGAACAUAGAGGAGCUCCCAAAUAUAACCCCUAGCGUACAAUGCCGAUAACAGGGUACAGUGAGGUUAAGAAACGUGGCCUCAGGACAAAGCCCUCAUAAUCUUCUAGUAUUGCAUGUCUAGAGCUAAGUGAAGUACAUCUAUUUGUAGAAUUGCUAUUGUUCUCUCUUAGGUAAUACACUCAAAGUUCAUGGGUCAAGCAUGGAUCCCUUACUGGAAUGAGGAUUCUGAACAACGAAUCAGUUAACUGUACAUGUGACUUAUCAUAAUGAAUUUCUAGACCUGGAAUGCUGGGAAUCAUAGUGACAGCAGAGACAUCCACCAAGGGAGAGUGGGGGUAUGCUUGGGUACUUGCCAGGGCUGUCUUCCUAAAGCAGGCAGUUGGGCCACAGGGUUCUCUCCAGCCUGCCAUGUUAGAGUGACAGAUAUCCACUGACUGAGCUUCAAGGGCACACACACUACCGCCUGUGUUCUUAACAUUUUCCCAGGCUCCACACUAUGCAUCCACCAUCAACACUUCUCAAUGAACUGUAGUAAUUCCCAAUGGGAGGGGGAUGGGAAAGAGUAGAUGAGCAGGCUCACACAGUCCUCUCCCCAGAGAAUCUAGAAAAGGGAUAUCUGUGUAAUUAUUAGUGGAGGCACUCCCUCUGCUGCUGCCCUCUCUGCCUAGUCCAUUCACAUGUUAAUCUACACACAUCUAGAGACAUAUGCUACACCCAGUACCUUUCAAGCAGACUACAGAGUGCAUGGGUGUGUGUGCUCAGGUGGAUGUGGCAGAAUCUGGAGGGAGGCUGGCUGAAGGUAUAUGCUGCAGACAGAGUAGUAAGAGAGUGAGCAGGUAAGAAAGAGAAGAAGCAAUCAGAAAGCAACCCUGAAGUGCCAAGGAAGUAGGAGACCAUGGAACACAUUCAAAACAAUAUGACACUUUGCUUAAUGAGUUUGUUUCUAUUUUUUUAAGUACAAGGUUUCACUCUGUUGCUCAGGCUGGAGUGCAGUGGCACCAUCACAGCUCACUGCAGCCUCAGCCUCCUGGGCUCAAGUGAUUUUCCUGCUUCAGCCUCCUGAGUAGCUGGGACCAGAGGCGUGUGCUACCAUGCCCAGGUAAUUUUCUUAUUUUUUGUAGAGAUAUGGUCUCACGAUGUUGCCCAGGCUGGUCUCAAAUUCCUAGGCUCAAGCAGUCCUCCCGUCUUGGCCUCCCAAAGUGCUGGGAUUACAGGCAUGAGCCACUGAGCCCAGGCUCCUUUAUGACUUUUGUUAAUAGCUUUGUGAAUCUAACCAAAUGGGAUUGACAUAGACUGGCAUUAAUACUGAUGACAAUCACCUUUUCCCAAGUGGAGAGCACCUCUGAUUCUGGUUUACUACAGAGGCUCUGGCUUCUUCAAAUAUCAACACUUUACAAAUGAUUUGUAAAGUGAUUAAAUUGUUUAAAAAUAUGCUGAAUUAAAUAUUUAUGGUUGCAGAAAAGCAGAAAGCACCAAGAAGGCUCAACUUAUUUUCUAAAUUUCAUUUCUAAAAAGUUCAACAAUAUUUGUACAAUUUUAGCGAUUUGAAGUUUACUAAAAUAGAUUCAUGUCACUAAAGACUGUAAAUAUCAUGAUGUGACCAUUUUUGCAGACUGUCCUUAGAGUUAACAAGGAAGAAAUUUAAACGGCAAGCACCAUUAACUACAAGAUAAAAUGCUUUUAAAAAAUCCAAAUUACAAUUCCCAUAGGGAGAGGGUUAAUGUACCUCUUCAUCAAUUGUUAGAGGUAUAUUAUUAUUAAAUGGAUUAAAAACUUGCCAAAUGUUACUUGGCCAGGCACCAGGAGGUUGGAAUAAUUAAAAGAUAAUAAUCCUUAAUAACCUGGAGCCAUGAAAUGUAACCUAGCUCAUACCUACCCCUCACUCUUUUCAUUGUAACCAUUUCCAUACACUGUGAGUUCACAGCCUCCUUUCUCCACCAACGCACUCUGUUUUCACAUCUCAGUACUUCUCUAUUUUGCCUUCUUCCCUGUAGUUUGCCUGGGAAUUAUGUGAGAGCACUGGAUGCUCUUCUACCUCCAGCAGGAAAUUGCUGCUGGGGGAACUUCCUACCAGGGAUAAGUUUUCCCUGUGAGGAAGGGGGUUGGGAGGGGUGUGUGUCUUGCAGGCCGCCUAGAAUAGACUCCAGACCUUGGGCCACACAGCCUGGUAAGUCAACCAACAGCCUCCUCACACCUCAUAUUUGCAUUCCAGUUCACUGAGUGAUUUCACACACUGGCUGGCAAUUCUUGAGCCUGCUGGAAAACCAACCAGGGAUUCACCUCAUCCAUCACUGGUCUGCAACUGCCUUUUAAGGGCCACAGCAGGGGAUGGAGAAAUGUUUCUUAACCAGGGCUACAUCAGCCAGUGAAGGGGGAUACGCUCUCAAAUGCAAACCCUGGAAAACCAGAUGGAUAAGAAGCAGACCUGGAGUUCAAGAUGGGCUCCAAAGGUAAGAGAGGUAGGUUCAGAUCCUGCUUCAGAGCUAACUAGUUGUAUGACCCUGGGCAAGUUACCUAAUCUCCUUAAACCUGUUUCUUCCUCUGUAAAAUCGGGAUAAUAAAACCUACAUUACAGGGUUUGGGAGCUUUAAAAGAAGUAACUGCAGGUCACGUACACAGCCCAGUGUGUGGUAAACAAAAAUGUACUUGGUAAAUGUUAAACCAUUGUGCUUGGAAGUGGUGUGGGCUAAUGGUCAAGAGCCUUGGGUCCGGAGCCAGACUGUUUGGGUUCAAAUCCCACCCUUAGCAUUUAAUAGCUGAGAGCAUUGGGUAACCUUAACUGACUCAAUUUAUCUGUCAUUAAAAUGGAAUUUUAUUACAACAUAGCAGAUAUUUAAUAAAUAUUAGCUACUUUUAUUUCAUUGGCAGUAAAAACAAUUGAUUGAGUUUCCACCUCAAUCAACAACGUAGUAGUGAAUUAAAUGAGAAUUCAGUACAAUGCGUAUUUUUAAAAAAUUGUGAAGACCUUGUAUGCAUUUAUGACUUUUUUGGGCAGAGUCAAGCUGCGAUGCUAAGGGUGUGGUUAAACUGUAAUAUGAAGGAAAAAAUUCAAACAGGGAGCAUAAACCACCCACCAGGGAGCUAUUUCUUUUGUAAUGUGCAUUCCAUUUCUUCUCCCUCAUGCUUUUUAAUUCUUUCCAUAUCUCCUGCCAUAAUUAUCAAAUGUUUAGUU